rnacentral:rRNA from 1 species
UAACUGCAAGUCGAACGAUGAUGCCCAGCUUGCUGGGCGGAUUAGUGGCGAACGGGUGAGUAAUACGUGAGUAACCUGCCCUUGACUCUGGGAUAAGCCUGGGAAACUGGGUCUAAUACUGGAUACUACUUCGCACCGCAUGGUGGGUGGUGGAAAGGGUUUUACUGGUUUUGGAUGGGCUCACGGCCUAUCAGCUUGUUGGUGGGGUAAUGGCUCACCAAGGCGACGACGGGUAGCCGGCCUGAGAGGGUGACCGGCCACACUGGGACUGAGACACGGCCCAGACUCCUACGGGAGGCAGCAGUGGGGAAUAUUGCACAAUGGGCGGAAGCCUGAUGCAGCGACGCCGCGUGAGGGAUGACGGCCUUCGGGUUGUAAACCUCUUUCAGUAGGGAAGAAGCGAGAGUGACGGUACCUGCAGAAGAAGCGCCGGCUAACUACGUGCCAGCAGCCGCGGUAAUACGUAGGGCGCAAGCGUUGUCCGGAAUUAUUGGGCGUAAAGAGCUCGUAGGCGGUUUGUCGCGUCUGCUGUGAAAGCCCGGGGCUCAACCCCGGGUCUGCAGUGGGUACGGGCAGACUAGAGUGCAGUAGGGGAGACUGGAAUUCCUGGUGUAGCGGUGAAAUGCGCAGAUAUCAGGAGGAACACCGAUGGCGAAGGCAGGUCUCUGGGCUGUUACUGACGCUGAGGAGCGAAAGCAUGGGGAGCGAACAGGAUUAGAUACCCUGGUAGUCCAUGCCGUAAACGUUGGGCACUAGGUGUGGGGGACAUUCCACGUUUUCCGCGCCGUAGCUAACGCAUUAAGUGCCCCGCCUGGGGGAGUACGGCCGCAAGGCUAAAACUCAAAGGAAUUGACGGGGGGCCCGCACAAGCGGCGGAGCAUGCGGNAUUAAUUCGAUGCAACGCGAAGAACCUUACCAAAGGCUUGACAUUCACCGGACCGCCCCAGAGAUGGGGUUUCCCUUCGGGGCUGGUGGACAGGUGGUGCAUGG